GAUGAACGCUAGCUACAGGCUUAACACAUGCAAGUCGAGGGGUAACAAGAGAAAAGCUUGCUUUUCUUGUUGACGACCGGCGCACGGGUGAGUAACGCGUAUCCAACCUGCCUAUAACUAGGGAAUAACCUUGCGAAAGUAAGACUAAUACCCUAUGAUUUCCUUUGAUGACAUCAGAUUAGGAAUAAAGAUUUAUCGGUUAUAGAUGGGGAUGCGUCUGAUUAGCUUGUUGGCGGGGUAACGGCCCACCAAGGCAACGAUCAGUGGGGGUUCAGAGAGGAAGGUCCCCCACAAUGGAACUGAGAGACGGUCGAAACACCUACGGGAGGCAGGAGUGAGGAAUAUUGGUCAAUGGGCGGAAGCCGGAACCAGCCAAGUAGCGUGCAGGAUAAGGGCCCUAUGGGUUGUAAACUGCUUUUAUACAGGAAGAAAGUGAGCCACGUGUGGUUAUUUGUAGGUACUGUAUGCAUAAGGACCGGCUAAUUGCGUGCCAGCAGCCGCCGUAA
rnacentral:rRNA from 1 species